CUGAAGCUGAGGUUUACAUGUGGGACACAAGGCUCCGGUCUAAAGCAAGCAGGCCUGGCCCUGAGAUGAAGCUCAGGUCUAAUGAGCCCUAAGGGGCUUCAUCUGAUAGUCUCUUAUAGAGACUUUUAAGAACUCCAAUUUUAGAAACUCCAAUUGUCCAGGCAAAUCUCAUGUUAAUUGACAAACCUCUCUCCAUAUGGAAGCUUCGAGUGUCAGCAUCCCCCACUGAUGAUCUACUUUGUGUGCAGGGCAAAGCCCUGGACUCAGUUGUUCUGUGUGAUGAGAUUACAAGUGUUAUCCCACAUACAAAUAAACCAGUACUGCAUACGGAGCUUUUCAAGCCACUCGUCACAAGCUCCAGUACAGGAGGGACGUGGCAACCUCUGGGGGAAAGGUCAUCAACGAAUGGCAUUUGCAGCAACCAUGGCAGAGCAGCUGGGACAGAGCAGCCUCUUUCUGAAACAUAGCAGAACACCAUCACCAACAGCACUGGUGAUUCAAUACCAGGGAGGCCAGAAGAAGCAGACAGGCUAUGAGGAUCUGUCUAGGGGACAGUCUACCCAGGCUGGGCUGUCCAGGAGAGGUACGGAAGCAAAUGCUGAAGGUGCCACGAAGGCUGUAACGAAAUUUGCUGGUGGAUGUGGACAAGUUCAACCACACCACAGGGAGUGAAUUUGGGUGAUAAGUUCUUAUCCAGUGAAAGACCUGCGAUACUACAGGCUUCCAGGCUUCUGCUACCAGACACAAGAGUAAAACCAGCAGUCUCUCUGGAAGCCUGGUAUUGGCCGGGCUACUUUCAGAGAAUAUCACCGAAUGCUGAAUUCCUUCGUUAGCUGCCUUCUCUCCAUAAUGUUCCACCCUUUGUC
rnacentral:lncRNA from 1 species